rnacentral:piRNA from 1 species
UGGUCACUCUGUCGCAAUCCUGUGAUGGCCU